rnacentral:rRNA from 1 species
UGAACGGCAGCACGGACUUCGGUCUGGUGGCGAGUGGCGAACGGGUGAGUAAUGUAUCGGAACGUGCCUAGUAGCGGGGAUAACUACGCGGCGUAGCUAAUACCGCAUACGCCCUUCGAGGAGAAAGCGGGGGACCUUCGGGCCUCGCACUAUUAAAACUGACCGAUAUCGGAUUAGCUAGUUGGUGGGGUAACGGCUCGCAAGGCGACGAUCCGUAGCUGGUUUGAAGGACGACCAGCCACACUGGGACUGAGACCUGGCCCAGACUCUACGGGAGGCAGCGGUGGGGAAUUUUGGACAAUGGGGGAAACUGAUCCAGCCGUCGCGUGUGCGAUGAAGGCCUUCCGGGUUGUAAAGCACUUUUGGCAGGAAAGAAACGGCACAGGAUAAUACCCCGUGCAACUGACGAAACACCUGCAGAAUAAGCACCGGCUAACUACGUGCCAACAGCCGCGGUAAUACGUAGGGUGCAGCGUUAAUCAGAAUUACUGGGCGUAAAGCGUGCGCAGGCGGUUCGGAAAGAAAGAUGUGAAAUCCCAGAGCUUAACUUUGGGAAUUUGCAUUUUUAACUACCGAGCUAGAGUGUGUCAGAGGGAGGUGAAAUUCCCGCGUGUAGCAGUGAAAUGCGUAGAUAUGCGGAGGGUACCGAUGGUGAAGGCGGCCUCACUGGGAUAACACCACUGACGCUCAUGCACAGCAGGAGCAAGGCAGGAUUAGAUACCCUGGUAAUUCCACGCCCUAAACGAUGUCCAACUGGCUGUUGGGGCCUUCGGGCCUUGGUAGCGCAGCUAACGCGUGAAGUUGACCGCCUGGGGAGUACGGUCGCAAGAUUAAAACUCGAGCGUCAGCAGGAACCCGCACCAGCGAGACCAGUGAUGUCACGUUAUUUGAUGCAACGCGAAAAUACACCACUGACGCGCUGGGAAUCCGGGGGAAUUUGUGAUGCUGCGGAACCGGAACGCAGCGAUGGCUGCUAUCGUCAGCCGAUCGUGGGAUCAUUGAGGUAGGUCCUGGCGGCAACCUGCCAUUUAGAUUGCACGAAAGGCACUCUAAUGGAUUGCCAGCGGUAAAACCGGAAGGUAUCGGGCGUCAGUACCACUGGCCACCUAUGGUGGACACGUCAUACAGCAGAAAGCCGAGACCGAGGUGUCGCCAACUACGGAGGAGUCGUCCGAAACCGAUCGCAGGUCGAUGCAGUCUGCAACUCGACGCGUAAGUCGGAAUCGCUAGUAAUCGCGGAUCAGCAUGUCGCGGUGAAUACGUUCCCGGGUCUUGUACACACCGCCCGUCACACCAUGGGAGUGGGUUUUACCAGAAGUAGUUAGCCUAACCGUAAGGAGGGCGAUUACCACGGUAGGAUUCAUGACUGGGGUGAAGUCGUAACAAGGUAG